UGUUCAGUAGUUGUUCAGCAGUUGUUCAGUAGUUGUUCAGAACUGCUGAACAACUGCUGAACAACUACUGAACAACUGCUGAACAACUGCUGAACAA
rnacentral:pre_miRNA from 1 species